GUAAUUUGUUUCAGCUUACUGGUGGCAAUUAGCUAAGCAUGUCCUGAUUGGCCAAUUGGUUCACGGGCUAAGGCAAGGACUUCUGAAAACGUGCCUUGCUCAGGGAGUGGGAGGGUGGCUAUUCCAUCAACAGCUGAGAAAAGGCUGCAUCACUGAUUCUCCCACAACAUGGACCGCCCAGCAUGGGAGGGACUUUGUCUUUCAAGAAUUGUGCUGUGGACCUGCAUCUGGGGUGAAGGGCCCAAGUCGAUGGAGUACAACAGCAGUUAGGCUGAGAAGAGAGCUGCAGAAAACCCGACUCUCCACUUUCUGCACUCGCCACAAGAUGGACAAGGACUGUAGCACACAUGGACCCAUAUUUCCCACCAUCGAAAUAAAUGGGCCGGAGAUAGGCAGCAGCCUCUGAGAAGCACCGUCUGUUGUGUAAACUUGCGCCCGCCUAUUAAGGAUGUAUUGGAAUUAAAUCCCUGCCUAGCUCUGUUGAAACUGCUUUGGGAAAAUUCAUAUCAAAUCUGUCCACUGCCGUUAGUUUUUAUGACAGCGCCGUUACAGAGAAAUAAACAGUGUCAUUGGUGAAAGGAAA